AUGAGUGAGAGCAGGAUUCCUGUGGGCGUGCCGGUGGGCGUGAAUGUAGGUGUGCACGUGGGAGCCCAGGGGGGCGUGAAUGUAGGCGUGCACGUGGGAGCCCAGGUGGGUGUGAAUGGAGGUGUGCACGUGGGAGCCCAGUUGGACGUGAAUGUAGGCGUGCACGUGGGAGCCCAGGUGGGCAUGCAGGUGGGCAUGAAUGUAGGCGUGCACGUGGGAGCCCAGGUGGGCGUGAAUGGAGGUGUGCACGUGGGAGCCCAGGUGGGCGUGCAGGUGGGCGUGAAUGUAGGCGUGCACGUGGGAGCCCAGGUGGGCGUGAAUGGAGGCGUGCACGUGGGAGCUCAGGUGGAUGUGAAUGUAGGCGUGCAUGUGGGAGCCCAGGUGGGCGUGAAUGGAGGCGUACACGUGGGAGCUCAGGUGGAUGUAAAUGUAGGCGUGCACGUGGGAGCCCAGGUGGAUGUGAAUGUAGGCGUGCACGUGGGAGCCCAGGUGGGCGUGCAGGUGGGCGUGAAUGGAGGCGUGCACGUGGGAGCCCAGGUGGGCGUGAAUGGAGGCGUGCACGUGAGAGCCCAGGUGGGCGUGAAUGGAGGCAUGCAUGUGGGAGCUCAGGUGGAUGUGAAUGUAGGCGUGCAUGUGGGAGCCCAGGUGGGCGUGAAUGGAGGCGUACACGUGGGAGCCCAGGUGGGCGUGCAGGUGGGCGUGAAUGUAGGCGUGCAGGUGGGAACCCAGGUGGACAUGAAUGUAGGCGUGCACGUGGGAGCCCAGGUGGGCGUGAAUGUAGGCGUGCACGUGAGAGCCCAGGUGGGCGUGAAUGGAGGCAUGCAUGUGGGAGCUCAGGUGGAUGUAAAUGUAGGCGUGCACGUGGGAGCCCAGGUGGGCGUGAAUGUAGGCGUGCACGUGGGAGCCCAGGUGGGCGUGAAUGGAGGCGUGCACGUGGGAGCCCAGGUGGGCGUGCAGGUGGGCGUGAAUGUAGGCGUGCAGGUGGGAACCCAGGUGGACAUGAAUGUAGGCGUGCACGUGGGAGCCCAGGUGGGCGUGAAUGUAGGCGUGCACGUGGGAGCCCAGGUGGGCGUGAAUGGAGGCGUGCACGUGGGAGCCCAGGUGGGCGUGCAGGUGGGCGUGCACGUAGGAGCCCAGGUGGGCGUGCAGGUGGGCGUGAAUGUAGGCGUGCAGGUGGGAACCCAGGUGGACAUGAAUGUAGGCGUGCACGUGGGAGCCCAGGUGGGCGUGAAUGGAGGCGUGCACGUGGGAGCCCAGGUGGGCGUGAAUGGAGGCGUGCACGUGGGAGCCCAGGUGGGCGUGCAGGUGGGCGUGCACGUAGGAGCCCAGGUGGGCGUGCAGGUGGGCGUGAAUGUAGGCGUGCAGGUGGGAACCCAGGUGGACAUGAAUGUAGGCGUGCACGUGGGAGCCCAGGUGGGCGUGAAUGUAGGCGUGCACGUGGGAGCCCAGGUGGGCGUGCAGGGGGCGUGCAGGUGGGAGGCACGACGCCCUCCCUGA
rnacentral:lncRNA from 1 species